rnacentral:rRNA from 1 species
UACGGAGGGUGCAAGCGUUAAUCGGAAUUACUGGGCGUAAAGGGCGCGUAGGUGGUUAAAUAAGUUAUCUGUGAAAUCCCUGGGCUUAACCUGGGCAGGUCAGAUAAUACUGUAUAACUCGAGUAUGGGAGAGGGUAGUGGAAUUUCCGGUGUAGCGGUGAAAUGCGUAGAGAUCCGGAGGAACACCGACGGCGUAGGCAGCGCCCUGGCUGUGAAUAAAGCUGACACUGAGGCACGAAAGCUGGGGGAGCAAACAGG